rnacentral:rRNA from 1 species
AUUGAACGCUGGCGGCAUGCCUUACACAUGCCAGUCGAACGGUAACGGGCCUUCGGGUGCCGACGAGUGGCGCACGGGUGAGUAAUACAUCGGAACGUGCCCGAUCGUGGGGGAUAACGAGGCGAAAGCUUUGCUAAUACCGCAUACGAUCUACGGAUGAAAGCAGGGGACCGCAAGGCCUUGCGCGGACGGAGCGGCCGAUGGCAGAUUAGGUAGUUGGUGGGAUAAAAGCUUACCAAGCCGACGAUCUGUAGCUGGUCUGAGAGGAUGAUCAGCCACACUGGGACUGAGACACGGCCCAGACUCCUACGGGAGGCAGCAGUGGGGAAUUUUGGACAAUGGGCGCAAGCCUGAUCCAGCCAUGCCGCGUGCAGGAUGAAGGCCUUCGGGUUGUAAAAUGCUUUUGUACGGAACGAAAAGCCUUCUUUUAAUACAGGAGGGUCAUGACGGUACCGUAAGAAUAAGCACCGGCUAACUACGUG